CCUCCCUCAAAUAUCAGACCCUAAACAUUUUCCAGGCCGACCUCAAUUCCCAUCGCCUCCAUCUUUCUCCGGUUUUCCACCAUCUCUCUGUCAUCACCAUUAAAAAUCAAUCCACCACCAUCUGGGCCACCCCUCGACCACCAACUGCGCCGGCCCGAUAGAACCACCAUCUGCCAUCACCAACAGUUCCGGCCACCAUCAACGGAGACAUCAAAUCCCUUAUUCCACUUUUAAGGCAAUCAAUUGUUUGUGUAAAAGAUUGAGUCUUUUUAUCAUUAAUUUCCUACAUUUUUGUGAUUAGGGUUUACAUAAAACUACUUGCAUCUUCUAAACUCAACUGUUUUUUAAUUGUGUUCUAUACAGGUCAACCACUGAUUGAUCUUUGUUUGAUUGGGUAAAUAUAUGAUUAAGGCAUAGUCUGGUAUAUAUCUAUUUUUGUAUAUAUAGGUUGAUUUUUUUGGAAUUAGUUGGGCGUUGAACUUGGAGACAAAUGAGCAUGUAGCGAUUAAGAAGAUUGUGAAUGCUUUUGAUAAUAAAAUCGAGGACUUUACGAGAAACAAAGCUGCUUCGUCAUAUGGAUCAUGAAAAUGAAAACCACAAGAUUGAAGCUGUAAAUUGUUCUGAUCAUCUAUUAUGCUUUGGUAAGAUUAUUUCUAACAUGAAGAAACUAAGGUGGCUUAGUUACGAAAGCCGUGGCAUUAAUAACAUGAAGGAUGUUGAAGGGCCUAACUUUUUGUCAAAUGAGUUAAGGUACUUUUAUUGGCAAUGGUAUUCAGCAAGUCCGUUCCUAGACGGUAUCCCACCAAUGACGCUUGUUGUUCUUAAAAUGAGUGAAAGCUGGCAGAAAGAACUUUGGAAUGGUUACAAGCAUCUACCACAUCUGAAAGUGCUUGAACUCGAAUUUAUGGGGAACCUACUCGGCAUACCAGAUUUUGGUGGACUUCCAUGUCUUAAAAAGCUGAAACUCCUAUGUUGUUCUCAUUUAGAAGAGAUUCACCCAUCACUUGGAAAUCAUAGAAGCCUUGAAAACAUAAGUGUAUCAACGUGUUCCGUGCUUAGAGUCUUCCCAAAGAUUGUCCGGAUGGAGAAACUCAACAACCUUGAGAUAUCAGAUUGCAAUAAUUAUAUUGAAUUGCCAGAGAUCCAAACUAAAAUGGGAAGGUUGGUAAACUUGACUUUGGAAGGGUCAGAAAAUGAGUUUCCGGACUCACCGAUCGGAGAAUGUUAUACGCAUCUUGAGACGGUGUUCUAUCGUCCGUUGAAAGAUAUUGUACAAAAGUUAAAUUUCAGGAGCUUACGAAAGUUGAAUCUCGGUGGCUGGGGUUUGAAAGACGGAGAAAUUCCUUCUGAUUUUGGUGAGUUAUCCAACUUAGAAGAGCUGGACCUUAGUAGGAAUGAUUUUUCCCACUUAGAUUUCAGCAUCUGCCAUUUAACUCAACUCAGACUCUGUCUGUCAAACUGCAAAAGGCUUGUAGAAUUGCCGGAGCUCCUAUCUAGUGUAGCUAUUCUGAUAGUAGACUUUUGUGACUCCCUUACAUAGUUACAUCCAUUGGAAGUAGUCACACAAAUUGUAAAGGGUUUUAUAUGGUGUCAUUUGUGGGAGGGGGUGUUAAUGUUAUUGUUGAAGGCUGCAGAUUAAUACUAUCCAUGCUCCAGGGAAAUGCUGUUGAAAAUCACUAUAUGAUUCUCGAACUCGAGGGCCUUGAAAUUCCAAAGAGGUUCUUACCUCGUCUUGUUAGAGGGGAGACAUGUACAUUGCAGCUCCAGAAAACUGGUUUAGUGACUUUUCUGGAUUCUUAAUGUGUAUUGCUUCUACAGAAAAUUAUAUUCCACAGGAAAUUGUCUCGAUAAUAAUAAGGAGAGUGCUGGUGGGUAUGGAUUCUCAAUAUGACGAGGAGGCUUGGAAGGAGAGGGCCGGUGAUAGAAGAACAUGGGUGGGGUUUGUUUCUUUUGAUCUAUUGAAACACACUGCAUGGUGGGAUGAAACAUAUAGCGCUCUUUCGUUUUCACUUGGAGCGGUAACAUGCCACAAUAGUGGGUUUGGAUUUGGUCUCGUUCACAAGAGAACUGGAAUUGCUUCAGCGGAAACAUCGACAUGUUAUCCCGUCUUUUCUAAUUAUUCACCUAACUUGGAGAUUAUAGAAGACUCGGUUUCUGCUUUGUGGAUUUCCUUUUCUAGAUGAUACUCAUGUUACCUCUUUCCUGCACCAGUAUUUAGCAACAAGAAAUGAAACAAGCAUUAAUUAGA